GCUUAACCUCUCACUUGUAUGACUGUUGCAUCAAAUUCCAUUGUAUUGACAGCAAUGAAUGAACAAAACAAACAGACAUAGUAGGUAAAAAUGUCAAAAUAAGGGAUACAGCAGUCAACAUUGUGUUAUAAUCUUAAUGACUUCAAAACGAACAAAUAUGUAACAAAGAAGCACAUUGAGUAAUUUAGACAAAUCAUUUGGCAAAAAUGAAAGACAUGAAUACAAAAAUUAUCAUAGAAUAAUUACACGAUGACGGAAUGUACCAAAGAAAUUCUAAAAUGCACAAAGACAAAGCACAUCAGCAAAAAUGAAAGACAAGACUAUAAUUCUACCACAGAACAAUGACACAAUCACGAGAUUUAAAGUUCAGUCACGUCAAAUUUAUAUCAACAAAACCAGACCAUACCAGACUAAACAGCAAAAGUGAUAUUAAUAAAGAUAAAUAAAAGAAUACAAUAACACGUUAUUAAGAUGAUAAACAACGUCAGUACCCAGAAUUUAUACUUCAAGGCCAUCGUGUAUUAUUUGCUUGUAAAAAUAUUAAUAUUCAUUAAGAAGGUCUUGAUAUCUUCCGAUAUUUUUUUUUAGAAAAAGGACGAGACGUUCUUUGACAUACCCCUGUUCCAUUGACUUUCUGCUCAGACACUGGUGACGAUUUACAUAGUCUUAAUAGCAC
rnacentral:lncRNA from 1 species